GUGCUUUGUUUACUAUGAUACGCAUGCCUAAAAUUCUCUUCCGCAGAUUUGACACUAAAUCGUAAAUUUAAAAUGAUUUCUUGCUAAAUAAAGCAAGUGCAACUAUUUUCAUUAAUAUUCUUACACUAUUAAAGGUAAAAUAUUAAAAAAAACGAUGUUUUCCUGUGAAUUUGAUAAACAAAACUAAUCCCGGGAAUAAGUCCGGAAUUGUUCGUUUUAGUAUUGUCGCAUUACAUCCGGUUUGAAUUUCGACUUCAGAAUCGAAAGAAACGUAAGCGAUGACUGAGAAAAUUACGAUUUUGAGUCAUUAAAAUCAUUUUAUUCUUAAACUGUUGCCUUCCCUUAAUUGCUCUUGAUCGGUUUUAGGAAAAUGGUAGGAUGAAUCAUGAAGUAAACGCGAUGCAACAGUUAAACAAGUUCGUUGAUGCUACGAGUAGGAGCAUACUCAUGCAGUAAUGAGAUUUUGACAAUCUGUUUUUGAAAAGGGGCACCAACUUUUAAGUUAUAUGAAAAUGACCGAAAUUAGGUGAAAAAAUUUCCGGAUCCUUGAGAUAGAGUCAUAAACUUUAAACAGCAAUGAUAUACAGCAAAGUAAGAUCUAUAAAUAAGUCAACAUGAACCAAAUUACCACAUGACCCCUGGAGGAGUUUUUGCCCUUUAAAGUAAAUUUUUUACGAUUUUUUUUAUUUUAUAAAUUCAUGUAAAAUUUGGUAAUUUUCACACAAAAUAUGUUCCUCUGAAACUACUUGGCUCAGUCCAUUAUAGAUAGAAAUAAUUGUGAACAAUCAGAAUAUUCAGUAAAGUAAGAUUUACAAACACAUCGCCAUCACCAAAACACAAAUUUGUCAUGAAUUUUAUUCUUGUCUGUAAUGUGUGUCCUUUGUUUUAUAUGCAUAGACCAAGGUGAGCGAGACAUACUUUUUAGCUCACCUGGCCCAAAGGGCCAAGUGAGCUUUUCCCAUCACUUGGCGUCCGUCGUCCGGCGUCGUUAACUUUUACAAAAAUCUUCUCCUCUGAAACUACUGGGCCAAAUUACACCAAACUUGGCCAAAAUCAUCAUUGGGGUAUCUAGUUUAAAAAAUGUGUCCGGUGACCCGGCCAACCAUCCAAGAUGGCCGCCAUGGCUAAAAAUAGAACAUAGGGGUAAAAUGCAGUUUUUGGCUUAUAACUCAAAAACCAAAGCAUUUAGAGCAAAUUUGACAAGGGGUAAACUUGUGUAACAGGUCAAGAUCUAUCUGCCCUGAAAUUUUCAGAUAAAUCGGAUAACCUGUUGUUGGGUUGCUGCCCCUGAAUUAGUAAUUUUAAGGAAAUUUUGCUGUUUUUGGUUAUUAUCUUGAAUAUUAUUAUAGAUAGAGAUGAACUGUAAACAGCAAUAAUGUUCAGCAAAGUAAUAUUUACAAAUAAGUCAACAUGACCGAAAUGGUCAGUUGACCCCUUUAGGAGUUAUUGCCCUUUAUAGUCAAUUUUUAACCAUUUUUCGUAAAUCUUAGUAAUCUUUUACAAAAAUCUUCUCCUCUGAAACUACUUGGCCAAAUCAAUCCAAACUUGCCCACAACCAUCUUUGGGGUAUGUAGUUUGAAAAAUGUGUCCAGUGACCCAGCCAUCCAAUCAAGAUGGCCGCCAUGGC
rnacentral:lncRNA from 1 species